ACUCAAAGGAAUUGACGGGGGCCCGCACAAGCAGCGGAGCGUGUGGUUUAAUUCGAUGCAACGCGAAGAACCUUACCCGGGCUUGACACGCACGUGGUAGCUGGCCGAAAGGGCAGCGACCCGCAAGGGAGCGUGCGCAGGUGCUGCACGGCUGUCGUCAGCUCGUGCCGUGAGGUGUUGGGUUAAGUCCCGCAACGAGCGCAACCCCCGCGGCCAGUUACUCCGUCUGGCCGGACCGCCGGGACCAACCCGGAGGAAGGUGGGGAUGACGUCAAGUCAGCAUGGCCCUUACGUCCGGGGCGACACACACGCUACAAUGGCCGGGACAAUGGGUAGCGAGGGGGCGACCCGGAGCCAAUCCCAGCAAACCCGGCCCCAGUUCGGAUCGGAGGCUGCAACUCGCCUCCGUGAAGUCGGAGUUGCUAGUAACCGCGGGUCAGCACACCGCGGUGAAUACGUUCCCGGGCCUUGUACACACCGCCCGU
rnacentral:rRNA from 1 species